CACGUAGGCACCAAGCGUUGUCCGGAUUUAUUGGGCGUAAAGAGCUCGUAGGCGGUUUGUCGCGUCUGCCGUGAAAGUCCGGGGCUCAACUCCGGAUCUGCGGUGGGUACGGGCAGACUAGAGUGAUGUAGGGGAGACUGGAAUUCCUGGUGUAGCGGUGAAAUGCGCAGAUAUCAGGAGGAACACCGAUGGCGAAGGCAGGUCUCUGGGCAUUAACUGACGCUGAGGAGCGAAAGUGUGGGGAGCGAACAGG
rnacentral:rRNA from 1 species